GUUGCCUCUCCGACAGAAAAUCUAGCACAGGGUGAAGCAUCAACAAAGGAGAUAAUUGAGAAUGGUAAGAAGUGGAUGGGCAAGGAAGUUAUGUUGGCUUUUGAGAAAUACAUUGAAGGAAAGAAGCAAUUCAAAGACGUGUUGUAUUGCUUCGAUGAGAUUAAAUACCAGUGCUUCAGUGUGGAGAGCUACAG